UGGAUCCAGACUUUGAUCCUGGCUCAGGAUGAACGCUAGCGACAGGCUUAACACAUGCAAGUCGAGGGGCAGCGGGGAGGAAGGCUUGCCUUCCUUUGCCGGCGACCGGCGCACGGGUGAGUAACACGUAUGCAACCUGCCCGUGGCAGAGGGAUAAUCGGAAGAAAUUCCGUCUAAUACCACAUGACAUUCCGCCGAGGCAUCUCAGCGGGAUCAAAGGAUUCGAUCCGGCCACGGAUGGGCAUGCGGCGCAUUAGCUUGUUGGCGGGGUAACGGCCCACCAAGGCGACGAUGCGUAGGGGUUCUGAGAGGAAGGUCCCCCACAUUGGUACUGAGACACGGACCAAACUCCUACGGGAGGCAGCAGUGAGGAAUAUUGGUCAAUGGGCGAGAGCCUGAACCAGCCAAGUCGCGUGAGGGAAGACGGCCCUACGGGUUGUAAACCUCUUUUGCCGGGGAGCAAAGACUUCACGAGUGGAGUUUUGAGAGUACCCGGAGAAAAAGCAUCGGCUAACUCCGUGCCAGCAGCCGCGGUAAUACGGAGGAUGCGAGCGUUAUCCGGAUUUAUUGGGUUUAAAGGGUGCGUAGGCGGCGCGACAAGUCAGCGGUAAAAAUUCGGGGCUCAACCCCGUCCGGCCGUUGAAACUGUCGUGCUCGAGUGAGCGAGAAGUAUGCGGAAUGCGAGGUGUAGCGGUGAAAUGCAUAGAUAUCACGCAGAACUCCGAUUGCGAAGGCAGCAUACCGGCGCUCAACUGACGCUGAGGCACGAAAGCGUGGGGAUCAAACAGGAUUAGAUACCCUGGUAGUCCACGCAGUAAACGAUGAACACUAACUGUCCGGUGGGAUUAUCCACUGGGCGGCACAGCGAAAGCGUUAAGUGUUCCACCUGGGGAGUACGCCGGCAACGGUGCAACUCAAAUGAAUUGACGGA
rnacentral:rRNA from 1 species